AAGCGGAGGAAAAGAAACCAACAGGGAUUGCCUUAGUAGCGGCGAGUGAAGCGGCAAAAGCUCAAAUUUGAAAUCUGGCACCUUCGGUGUCCGAGUUGUAAUUUGAAGAUUGUAACCUUGGGGUUGGCUCUUGUCUAUGUUUCUUGGAACAGGACGUCACAGAGGGUGAGAAUCCCGUGCGAUGAGAUGCCCAAUCCUAUGUAAGGUGCUUUCGAAGAGUCGAGUUGUUUGGGAAUGCAGCUCUAAGUGGGUGGUAAAUUCCAUCUAAAGCUAAAUAUUGGCGAGAGACCGAUAGCGAACAAGUACAGUGAUGGAAAGAUGAAAAGAACUUUGAAAAGAGAGUGAAAAAGUACGUGAAAUUGUUGAAAGGGAAGGGUUUGAGAUCAGACUCGAUAUUUUGUGAGCCUUGCCUUCGUGGCGGGGUGACCCGCAGCUUAUCGGGCCAGCAUCGGUUUGGGCGGUAGGAUAAUGGCGUAGGAAUGUGACUUUGCUUCGGUGAAGUGUUAUAGCCUGCGUUGAUGCUGCCUGCCUAGACCGAGGACUGCGAUUUUAUCAAGGAUGCUGGCAUAAUGAUCCCAAACCGCCCGUCUUG
rnacentral:rRNA from 1 species